rnacentral:lncRNA from 1 species
GGCGGGGCUUCCUUACCGCGACCCCUGGCGAGAGCAGUGGGUGGUGGGAGGACUAGAAACGUUCGUUCAGUUGGCAGGAUACACCGGGACACUUCUUUGGAUACGAAAAGAUGUAUUUAAACUUUUUCUUAGGUCCCUCGAAGAUUACCAAGAAACCCAGGCUUUUCAAAAAUCACCUGUUUCUUUUAAAAAUUCAUUUACAUAGUCGGUCUCGCUAAGCAGUCCUGGCUAGCCUUGAGCUCAGCGAUCCAGCCGGUCCGCCUUCAGUGUGAUAGGAUUAUUGGCCCGAGCACCAGGUCCAAUUCUUUCUUUCUUUCUUUCUUUCUUUCUUUCUUUCUUUCUUUCUUUCUUUCUUUCUUUCUUUCUUUCUUUCUUCCUUCCUUCCUUCCUUCCUUCCUUUCUUUCUUUCUUUCUUUCUUUCUUUCUUUCUUUCUCUCUUUAGCCUCUUCUGCAAAUUGUACUUAUCAAUGUCCUUCAAGAGAGGGUUCUUAGCCGGGCGUGGUGGCACACGCCUUUAAUCCUAGCACUUGGGAGGCAGAGGCAGGAGGAUUUCUGAGUUCAAGGCCAGCCUGGUCUACAGAGUGAGUUCCAGGACAGCCUGGUCUACACAGAGAAAUCCUGCCUCGGAAAAAAGAGAGAGAGAGAGGGUUCUCUGAGGCUCAAAUUGGACAUCCCCAUCUUGAAUCAGAGCAGCUGUUGACCAACCACAGAGCCUCUGGAAGUCAGGCCUAUCAGCAUUCCUGCAUGGAAGACUGAGGAAAGCUCCUCCCAGAAGCUGUAUCAGCAGUGAAUGAUGACUGGGAAGAGAGAUUGCUGGUACCAUAGGCUGCCUUUGACUCGCCCAAGGCCCUGAAACAUCACACAACAGAGCUGAAAUUUCCUAUUGCCUAAUGACAAUGUGGCCGGGACAUCAUCUCAGCAUAAUGCAUUCCUCACACGUUCGUGGCAAUGGUCUCCGGUGUAAACAAGCCUGCCCUUCAGCCGGCCAGAGAGAACACACAGUACUGUACAGUACAUAAUACUUGAUAACUAAAUGACUAUAUAUUUACUAUUAUUGUUUUAGAGUAUAGGGGUUUUUUUAAGAUAUUUUACUGUGUGUCUUAGUUUGCUUUUAUAAAUGUAAUAAAACACUAACCAAAACCAACCUGGGAGAGAAAGGGUUUAUUACAGUUCAGAGUCCAUCAUGAAAAGAAGUCAGGGCUGGAAAUGAAGCAGAGACCAUUACUCAUCCGGGAAAACUUGCGUCUGUAGUUUAAAGUUGUAAUCAUUCACAUACAAGAAAUUUGAAAAUACUUAGGAGUUUAGAGCAUAUUUCUCAGUCACAAUGGAGGUGGCUUGGAAAAUAUUCAGAGAAUAGUGGAGGAACCCAGUAUUGGCCUCCAGUUCUACACUGACUUGCUCUUGAGACCCUGCUCAGUCUCCUUUCUUAAACAACCCAGAACCACCUGUCUGGGGGGUCACUGCCUACAGUGGGGCUAGGCUCUCUCAUAUCAACUAUUAAUUAACAUAUUAAUACCCCACAGACUUGCCUAAAGCCCAAUAUGGUGGCGGAAACAUCUUCUCCGUUAAGGUUCCCUCUUCCCAAGUGAAUCUAGUUUGUGUCAAGAAGACAAAACCUAACCAGCAUGCUGUGUAACUGCAUAGCAUGCCACCCUGCAGCAGCCCACACAUCUGUUCUUCCAUCUGGGUUCCUGUAAGAACACUCACUGGUGUUCACACAGUGGCCAAACCACCUGCUGAUGUGGUUCUCAUAUGACAUCACUCUUGCUAUGCUUACAGCAUCCUGCCACCUGGAUCCCUACUGGCAGAAAUAUUGAUUUAAAUGGUCUGAUGAGGAGUACAGUUUGUUAGAAAGGGCUUGUGUGGGAAGCCACAUGUGCCGUUGCAGAGUGGCACUGACUACUGCUGGCCACCACACAUAAGUUUGGACAAACAACCAAUGUGUACAUAUGCAGUAAAGUUUUUUGCAAAGACACUGCCUGGCCCGGGCAUGAUAAUGAGGCUUUGAGAGUAUAACCAAUCAGAUGUGGGACAUGCAAAUGAGGUACGAUAAUGAGGCUCUGUGAGGUACAGAGAGAGAGAGAGAGUAGCCAAUCAGAUGAGGAACAUGCAAAUGAGGUAUAGUGCAUAACCAAUCCGGGUGUGAGACACGCCUCUCCUAGGCCUAUAUAAGCAGCACCAGUUCUGGGCUCGGGGUCUCUUCGCCUCUGCAAUCAAGCUCUCCCAAUAAACGUGUGCAGAAGGA